GACUGAGAUCGCCCCGUUUUACCUCCUCGAUGAGAGCCACGGAGAGAGAGACCGAGUGAUCCUCGUCAAUCAAAUCAACGGAGAGAGACGCGAAGAGAGACAGCCGGAGUGUUGGAUCGUCGAGGAGAUGAACCGAGGUGAAGUGAUGAAUCGUGGAGGAUCAAUCGACGGAGCGGUGGAGAGAUCAAUCGUCGAGAAAUCAAG
rnacentral:lncRNA from 1 species